AGCCUGCUCCACCGAAAGAAAAAGAGUGGCGAACGGGUGAGUAACACGUGGGUAACCUGCCCAUCAGAAGGGGAUAACACUUGGAAACAGGUGCUAAUACCGUAUAACACUAUUUUCCGCAUGGAAGAAAGUUGAAAGGCGCUUUUGCGUCACUGAUGGAUGGACCCGCGGUGCAUUAGCUAGUUGGUGAGGUAACGGCUCACCAAGGCAACGAUGCAUAGCCGACCUGAGAGGGUGAUCGGCCACACUGGGACUGAGACACGGCCCAGACUCCUACGGGAGGCAGCAGUAGGGAAUCUUCGGCAAUGGACGAAAGUCUGACCGAGCAACGCCGCGUGAGUGAAGAAGGUUUUCGGAUCGUAAAACUCUGUUGUUAGAGAAGAACAAGGAUGAGAGUAAAAUGUUCAUCCCUUGACGGUAUCUAACCAGAAAGCCACGGCUAACUACGUGCCAGCAGCCGCGGUAAUACGUAGGUGGCAAGCGUUGUCCGGAUUUAUUGGGCGUAAAGCGAGCGCAGGCGGUUUCUUAAGUCUGAUGUGAAAGCCCCCGGCUCAACCGGGGAGGGUCAUUGGAAACUGGGAGA
rnacentral:rRNA from 1 species